AAAUUGAAGAGUUUGAUCAUGGCUCAGAUUGAACGCUGGCGGCAGGCCUAACACAUGCAAGUCGAACGGUAACAGGAAGCGCUUGCUGCUUCGCUGACGAGUGGCGGACGGGUGAGUAAUGUCUGGGAAACUGCCUGAUGGAGGGGGAUAACUACUGGAAACGGUAGCUAAUACCGCAUAACGUCGCAAGACCAAAGAGGGGGACCUUCGGGCCUCUUGCCAUCGGAUGUGCCCAGAUGGGAUUAGCUUGUUGGUGGGGUAACGGCUCACCAAGGCGACGAUCCCUAGCUGGUCUGAGAGGAUGACCAGCCACACUGGAACUGAGACACGGUCCAGACUCCUACGGGAGGCAGCAGUGGGGAAUAUUGCACAAUGGGCGCAAGCCUGAUGCAGCCAUGCCGCGUGUAUGAAGAAGGCCUUCGGGUUGUAAAGUACUUUCAGCGGGGAGGAAGGGAGUAAAGUUAAUAUCUUUGCUCAUUGACGUUACCC
rnacentral:rRNA from 1 species